UCGGCAUUACCUCAGCAAGCAUAAACUCUUCAUGGCGGUGCACAAUUGGGGUUUGGCAUGGAGGUUUGGUUGAAAUUGGUUACGACGACGUCGAGUUGGCGGCGGAGGAAGACUCGGCAUGAAGGCCAGAAAAUGGUGUGGAACGUAGUGGUAAUAGUACGCGCCCCGCUCCGAAACAAAGAAAAAGGUGCGUGCCGCACUCACGAGGGACUGCCAGUGAGAUACUGGAGGAAGGUGGGGAUGACAUCAAGUCCGCAUGGCCCUUAUGGGCUGGGCCACACACGUGCUACAAUGGCAAUGACAAUGGGAAGCAAGGCUGUAAGGCGGAGUGAAUCCGGAAAGAUUGGCUCAGUUCAGAUUGUUCUCUGCAACUCGGGAACAUGAAGUUGAAAUUGCUAGUAAUCACGGAUCAGCAUGCCGCGGUGAAUAUGUACCCGGGCCCUGUACACACCGCCCGUCACACCCUGGGAAUUGGUUUCGCCCGAAGCAUCGGACCAAUGAUCACCCAUGACUUCUGUGUACCACUAGUGCCACAAAGGCCUUUGGUGGUCUUAUUGGCGCAUACCACGGUGGGGUCUUCGACUGGGGUGAAGUCGUAACAAGGUAGCCGUAGGGGAACCUGUGGCUG
rnacentral:ncRNA from 1 species